AACGAACGCUGGCGGCAUGCCUAACACAUGCAAGUCGAACGAGACCUUCGGGUCUAGUGGCGCACGGGUGCGUAACACGUGGGAAUUUGCCUCGGGGUAUGGAAUAACUCAGGGAAACUUGAGCUAAUACCAUAUAAUGUCUUCGGACCAAAGAUUUAUCGCCCUGAGAUAAGCCCGCGUAGGAUUAGCUAGUUGGUGGGUAAAGGCUCACCAAGGCGACGAUCCUUAGCUGGUCUGAGAGGAUGAUCAGCCACACUGGGACUGAGACACGGCCCACGACUCCUACGGAGGCAGCAGUGGGAAUAUUGGACAAUAGGGCGAAAGCCUGAUCCAGCAAUGCGCGUGAGUGAUGAAGGCCUAGGUNUAAGCUCUUUUACCCGGGUAUGAUAAUGACAGUACC
rnacentral:rRNA from 1 species